AGGUCGUAAGUUCGGUUCCUGGUACCAGAGAAAAAAAUCAAGAAAGAAAAAAAAAAAAAGAAAGAAACACACUGAUGCUCACAGACAUAAGAGGAAGAAACACUGAGGCAUUGCUGGUAAGAGCAGAAUGUACAGACCACUGAAGCUCAUCAGUAAAGGAUUCAUUAAAUUACAUACCACCAGAGUGUGGAAAUCAACGGGAUGAGAAUAAAUGAUGGCUGGAGAAAGGAAGUAAAGCUGGGACCUGAACUGGAUUCUGUUGAUCUAAAUUAGCUGCCUGAAUACUCAAAAUGACUUAGUUUGAUUUAGAUGAGCUGACAAGUAACAAAACAACAUGAUAAACAGGAGUGUCAUCUGGCCUCUACAGGUAUGUCCAAUCUGUACCCCAGCUUUUUAAGUCCCCUCUUUUGAAUGAAGAAUCACCUCGGACCACAUAUAAAACAUGUAAUAUAGCUUAUAUAUACAAGUAAGAACACUUCUU